rnacentral:rRNA from 1 species
CGCCUCUUGCAUAUAUUAUAAGAGGUCUUACCUGCCCAGUGACGCAAGUUUAACGGCCGCGGUAUUUUGACCGUGCAAAGGUAGCGUAAUCAAUCGUCUUUUAAAUGGAGACCUGUAUGAAUGGUGAAACGAAAACUCAACUGUCUCAUUCUUUUAACCAAUGAAAUUGUUUUUUCCGUGCGGAAGCGGGAAUAAAUCCAUAAGACAAAAAGACCCUGUGGAGCUUUAGACUUCUGCUUACAUCUUAGAUUGGGGCGAUCACGGAGAAAACAUACCCUCCCUGAAGAAAUUCAUAAUUAAGAGCUACCGCUCUAAAUAUUAAAAUAUUUGACUUUAUGAACCGGCUCGCCGAUUAACGAACCCAGUUACCCCAGGGAUAACAGCGCAAUCCCCUUAAAGAGCACUUAUCACCAAGGGGGUUUACGACCUCGAUGUUGGAUCAGGACAUCCUAAUGGCGCAUCCACUAUUAAGGGUUCGUUUGUUCAACGAUUAAAGUCCU